rnacentral:rRNA from 1 species
UACCAGCACCACGAGUGGUCGGGACGUUUAUUGGGCCUAAAGCAUCCGUAGCCGGUUCUACAAGUCUUCCGUUAAAUCCACCUGCUUAACAGAUGGGCUGCGGAAGAUACUAUAGAGCUAGGAGGCGGGAGAGGCAAGCGGUACUCGAUGGGUAGGGGUAAAAUCCGUUGAUCCAUUGAAGACCACCAGUGGCGAAGGCGGCUUGCCAGAACGCGCUCGACGGUGAGGGAUGAAAGCUGGGGGAGCAAACCGG